UACAGAGGGUGCGAGCGUUGUUCGGAAUUAUUGGGCGUAAAGGGCGCGUAGGCGGUGCGGUAAGUCACCUGUGAAAUCUCCUGGCUCAACUGGGAGCUUGCAGGCGAAAACUGCCGUGCUGGAGUGUGGGAGAGGUGAGUGGAAUUCCCGGUGUAGCGGUGAAAUGCAUAGAUACCAUCAAGAACACCGAUUGCGAAGGCAGCUUACUAAGCUGUAACUGACGCUGAGGCACGAAAGCGUGGGGAUCGAACAGG
rnacentral:rRNA from 1 species